CAUAUCAACAUCCGGGGGUCGCGGAGCCGUCCGCCUACGGGGGCCGGGACGUCGCCUGCGCGUCUCUCGUCUUCGGAGCGCUGCAGCAUCGCGGUGGGGAUCGAAAGCGGGGGCUUCUGGGACACAACGUCUGGAGACGCGGCCUCGGACCAGCCUUUUCGGUGUGGAAGUGGCAUCACGGCAGGCCGACUGGUCAAACAAAUGGAUUUUACAGAGGCUUACGUGGACACGUGCUCUACCGUUGGACUUGCUGCCAGGGAAGGCAAUGUUAAAGUCUUAAGGAAACUGCUCAAAAAGGGCCGAAGUGUCGAUGUUGCUGAUAACAGGGGAUGGAUGCCAAUUCAUGAAGCAGCUUAUCACAACUCUGUAGAAUGUUUGCAGAUGUUAAUUAAUGCAGAUUCAUCUGAAAACUACCUUAAGAUGAAGACCUUUGAAGGUUUCUGUGCUUUGCAUCUCGCUGCAAGUCAAGGACAUUGGAAAAUCUUACAGAUUCUUUUAGAAGCUGGGGCAGAUCCUAAUGCAACUACUUUAGAAGAAACAACACCAUUGUUUUUAGCUGUUGAAAAUGGACAGAUAGAUGUGUUAAGGCUGUUGCUUCAACACGGAGCAAAUGUUAAUGGAUCCCAUUCUAUGUGUGGAUGGAACUCCUUGCACCAGGCUUCUUUUCAGGAAAAUGCUGAGAUCAUAAAAUUGCUUCUUAUAAAAGGAGCAAACAAGGAAUGCCAGGAUGACUUUGGAAUUACACCUUUAUUUGUGGCUGCUCAGUAUGGCAAGCUAGAAAGCUUGAGCAUACUUAUUUCAUCGGGUGCAAAUGUCAAUUGUCAAGCCUUGGACAAAGCUACACCCUUGUUCAUUGCUGCUCAAGAGGGACACACAAAAUGUGUGGAGCUUUUGCUCUCCAGUGGGGCAGAUCCUGAUCUUUACUGUAAUGAGGACAAUUGGCAGUUACCUAUUCACGCAGCUGCACAAAUGGGCCAUACAAAAAUCUUGGACUUGUUAAUACCACUUACUAACCGGGCCUGUGACACUGGGCUAAACAAAGUAAGCCCUGUUUACUCAGCAGUGUUUGGGGGACAUGAAGAUUGCCUAGAACUAUUACUCCGGAAUGGCUACAGCCCAGAUGCCCAGGCGUGCCUUGUCUUUGGAUUCAGUUCUCCUGUGUGCAUGGCUUUCCAAAAGGACUGUGAGUUCUUUGGAAUUGUGAACAUUCUUUUGAAAUAUGGAGCCCAGAUAAAUGAACUUCAUUUGGCAUACUGCCUGAAGUACGAGAAGUUUUCGAUAUUUCGCUACUUUUUGAGGAAAGGUUGCUCAUUGGGACCAUGGAACCAUAUAUAUGAAUUUGUAAAUCAUGCAAUUAAAGCACAAGCAAAAUAUAAGGAGUGGUUGCCACAUCUUCUGGUUGCUGGAUUUGACCCACUGAUUCUACUGUGCAAUUCUUGGAUUGACUCAGUCAGCAUUGACACCCUUAUCUUCACUUUGGAGUUUACUAAUUGGAAGACACUUGCACCAGCUGUUGAAAGGAUGCUCUCUGCUCGUGCCUCAAACGCUUGGAUUCUACAGCAACAUAUUGAACAAGGCUUCAUUCUGCAAAAAUAUCUGGGACCUUCAAAUUCACAAAUGGAUUUUCUGCUCAGGGGAGAGCUGCCAAUCCGUUAAAAGGUAUGUUACAGCUCUAAGAAGCUGCAUCCAUGUCCUGUAGGAUCCAUAGUUUCUGGUUCUGGUUCCAGGUUCUGUGUAAUUGCUGGGCCGCUGGGUUCUUUGCAUCUGUUCCUGGACGCCACUGAAGUCGCAUCCUGAGUUGCUUCUCAUCUGGGCCUUGGUUUGCUUCAUCUUUGGCUGGGCUUCAACAGAUCUCUUCACCUGAAAGGAACUCCUUCAAAUGAACUGGUCGCCAUAUGAACUGAUGCUAUACUUUGAGCGUUGCCGCAGUCGGGUGAAUUCAAGCUACAGAGAAGAGGCGAUUCACAUUUUUUCUUUCUCUCUUGUAUUAUUCCUCCAGCUCAAGAAGCUGCCAGAAAGAGGGCAAAAGACAGUCGCCCCAGAACUCCUAAAAUGGAGCUGAGCAUGUUGGUUAGGAUCCAGAGAAUAGCCAUGAAGCAGGAUUGACCCAGGUAUGGAAGCUAGGUAACCCCUUUCUCUCAAAUAUGCCAGGGGAAAUGACAUUUGAAAAGAUAAGGAUAAAUUCUGAUGUUCCAUGUCUCAAUGUCCCGUAGCCAAAGACUGCCGGGAACACAUACGUUUUAAUAGUUGAACAAGGUGGGUCUACUCAUUGCAGCUGCAGCGGGGGAGAACUUACAUUGUGGGGAGCUGUGGGGCGUCUCAGUG